AUUUGUCUGGUUAAUUCCGAUAACGAACGAGACCUUAACCUGCUAACUAGAUUCAUUAGUACUACUAUUGCAAUCUUCUUAGAGGGACUAUGUAAAACAAAUACAUGGAAGUUUGAGGCAAUAACAGGUCAGUGAUGCCCUUAUAUGUCCUGGGCUGCACGCGUGCUACACUGAUGCAUACAACAAGUGCCUAACCAGACAUGGUAUGGCAAUCUCGAAUAUGCAUCGUGAUGGGGAUAGAUCUUUGCAAUUAUAGAUCUUGAACGAGGAAUUCCUAGUAAGUGCAAGUCAUCAUCUUGCAUUGAUUAUGUCCCUGCCCUUUGUACACACCGCCCGUCGCUCCUACCGAUACCGGGUGAUCCGGUGAACCUUUUGGACUCUUUACUGGGAAAGAUAAGUAAACCAUAUCACCUAGAGGAAGGAGAAGUCGUAACAAGGUUUCCGUAGGUGAACCUGCRGAAGGAUCA
rnacentral:rRNA from 1 species